UCUAGGUAAACGCGGCAUAUAAUUAUGUUGAGGAAAGUCCAUGCUCGCACUAACCUGUGAUGGUAGUAGUGUUCAUGCCGAGGGAACAAAUAACCGAGGGUAAGUUUUUAACUUAACGGCUCUGAAAUAACCUUAAAUGGUUAAAUUAGGUAUAAAAGUGCCAAAGAGACGAGUACAUUUGGAAACAAAUGUAGUGGAACGUGGUAAACCCCAUGAGCGAGAAACCCAAAAUUGGUAGGGGAGUCUUUGGGAACGAAUCAAGAAGGGACUAAAGGACAGUAAUGUAGAUAAAUGUUUACCGCCUAGAAAUAGGUACAGAACAUGGCUUAUAA
rnacentral:RNase_P_RNA from 1 species